UACGGAGGGUGCAAGCGUUGUUCGGAAUCAUUGGGCGUAAAGCGCGUGUAGGCGGCUUGGCAAGUCGGUUGUGAAAUCCCGGGGCCCAACCCCGGAACUGCAUUCGAAACUGCCUCGCUAGAGUCCCGGGAGAGGAAGGCGGAUUCCCGGUGUAGAGGUGAAAUUCGUGAGAUAUCGGGAGGAACACCAGGGUGGCGAAGGCGGCGAUCCUGGACCGACACUGACGCUGAGGAGCGGAAAGCCAGGGGAGGCAAA
rnacentral:rRNA from 1 species